CUUCCUAGCUGGUGAAGUCACAGUGCUCUUAUCUGAUGAUACUGAGGAAACACUAGCCAUCACCCAACCCCCUCCGCACGAAGGCCCCUUUGCGCGGCUCCCCGGCAUAGUAACCCUAGCUGCCCAGCUGGUGGACCUAGAUGGUGAUAUCCCAAAGCCACCAGUGCACUCCGGGGCCCCCGCGCAGCGGCCCCCACUCCCACUCUGGCCGGCCCUUCCUCCACCCCGCAGCCCCAGCUUCAAUUUCCAUGUGAUCCCUGGGAAGAAAAGCACGGCCUUUGUGCCGCUGCAAAGGAUUCACACAUCACCGCCCCAGAUGCUAGCGCAGCUCCCCGAGGCAUAAAGCGUCGCCUAAACAGCGCUUCCUUGGGAACAUCCGGCACCCUGGGACUGGGACGCGGAACACAAAGGCGCCCCUCGGCGCGGGACGGACUUAAGAAAACUAGAUUUGGUUUUCUGCACUUUUCAUUGCUCCGUCGGGGCUCUUGCCAUGGACGCUGAUGGUCUUAGGCCAACCAAACCCAACAAGAUUGGAAAAGAAGAAGAUGAUGAUGAAGAAGAAGAAGAAGAGAGGAGGAUAAUGGAUACAUGUGCAUCUGGAGGAAAGCAAUUAGGAGGAAGAAAUGGCUAAGAAUCUCAGGCAUGAGAAAAAUGUAAAAAUUAUUUCUCUCUUGAGAACAUGUGGAAUGAGCUGUCUCUCUUCAUAUAACAAACUGUUUAUAGAGAGAAAAGUCUUUAAAGACAACAAUGUAUCUGACUGGGUGUCAGUUUUCUCAGGAUGACAUGAAAGUCAGUAAGAGGCCCUGAAUUUCUGAUCUUGAAAUUAUUUGCUUUUAGACCCAUAGAAAUCUGAUGCAGUGAGGCAGUUGUGAAAGAAAACACUGGAACCAUGUUAAUGUUGGGAAGAAACACUAUUUAGAAUCUCUGUCUUGGGUUUAUGCAAGAUAGAAUGAUAUUUGCAGUUUCCCUCUGCAAAAUAUUUCUUCUUCGCCAUGCAUACUGCAAGGGUGUAAGUUGUCAGGGUGUCAGUUAUCCAAAUAAAAGAAAGUCAAGAAAAAUAUGUGAUAAGAUUAAUGAAAAGAACUUGGCCAAGUUGCAUGGUGUCUUUUAGGUAAUAUACCUUCUUUAUGAUAGCAAAACAAAUAGAGGAGGGGAUAUAAGUUCUUGAGAAUAGCAUUGAGUUGAUGGAUCACAUCUUAUCUGAAGCCUACUCCAUCUCUAUUUUCCACUUACGUAAGCCAAUAAAUUCCCUUUAGUUUCUAAAAAAGUUUAUGUUGUUUUCUGCUAUUUUUAUCUAAAAACAUUCCCACAUACCGGUGCAUAAAACAUGCUUAAGUAAAUGCAAAGGAAUUGAAAUCAUCCCAUGAAUAUUAUCAGAUCACAGUGCAAUAAAAUUAGAAAUCAAUGGCAAAAGAGACCAAAAAGCUUCAUAAAUACAUGGAAAUUGAAUAACACCUUCCUGAACAACUAAUGGGUCACAGAAGAAAUUAAAGAAAAAAUUAGGCAGCUUCUAUAAUUAAACAAUAAUGCCAAUAAAAUAUAUUGGAACUCAGAGAAUUCAAUGUAAAGCAGUCAUGUGAGAGAAAUUUAUAACAAUGAAUUUCCACGUCAGAAACAGUGGGUACAAAUAAACAACCGAGUGUUAAACAUCAAGCUUCUAGAAAAAGGAGAACAAACCAACCUUGAAGCUGGUAUGAGGGAGAAAAUUAUAAACAUCAGAGCAAAAAUGAAUGCAAUGGAGACUAAGGAAAUAAUACAAUGAAUCAGAGUUGGUUCUUUGAAAGAUCAAAUGACAUUGGCAAACCCUUAGCCAGACUCAUUGAUACAUAUAUAUAUAUAUAUAUAUAUAUAUAUAUAUAUAUAUAUAUAAAACAAAGCUAAAUGAAGAUGUAAAAAUUCUAAAUAACUCAAUAUCUGUCAAUAAAAUUGAAGGUAUAAUUAGAAACCUGCCAACAAAGAAAAGCCGAGGUCCUGGAGGAUUCACUGCUGAAUUCUACAAAAAAUUUAGAGAAGGCCUAACACCACUACCUCUCAAACUUUUAAAUGAAGUUGAAAGGGAAACAAUACUCCCAAAUUCUUUCCUGAAAGGAAGCAUUGCCCUGAUACCAAAUCAAAGAAGGACCCAACUAAGAAAGAGAACUACAGGCCAACUUCUGUAAUGAACAUAGAUGCAAAAUCCUCAAGAAGAUAACUGACCAACAAAAUGCAGCAAAUCAUCAAGAAGAUUAUACAUCAUGACCAAGUAGGAUUCAUCCCAAGGAUGCAGGAAUGAUUCAAACUAUGCAAAUCAACAAAUGCAAUACACCACAUUAACAGAACCAAGAACAAAAGCCAUAUGAUCAUCUCAAUAGAUGCAGAAAAAGAAUUUGACAAAGUCUAACAUCCAUUCAUUAACUAAAAGCAUUCAGACUGUUGAAAUAUAUAUAAUAGGUCAUUCAUAAUAAGCUAGACAGGCACUUGGAAGUUUCGAGAAAUACACUGAUAUUACCCUGGGUAGUGGUAGCUUAUUGAAGAUAAGCACUUCCACCAGUGGAUAACCAAGUAUGAACAACAAAUGUGAUACAUCUCUGAUCUCAGCACAAACAUUCCCAGAAACCUGGGAGACUGUUUCAAAGGAUGUGUGUCUAGACUCUUUAAGUUUUCUUGUAAUCUAUGCAAUUAUAUCAUUAUUACAAUUCAACAUACUUCUGUUCCUAUGUAUCUUUCUUUCUGCUUCUAACAAGAUUUCUUUAAUUUAGCACCCGGAAAGUCUCAUUCAUAUUUAAUGAUGAUGAUGAACAGAGCCGUUUGAGGAUAUGUGUGCCUGAACAGGCUUGCUGACUCCUGUCCUUCCCUUUUAAGAUAGUAACAGGAAGCCCUAUUUAUAGAAUAAAAAUGUCUUUGCUCUGGAGAUAUAAAAUGUCCUUGGAAGAGUUGUCCUUAGACAUUUUCUGUGCUUGUGUGUGUUGCUAUAUGGGCCUAUUUGUGAUGCUGAUAUUGAUAGUAGUGUUGGUUGGUCCAUCCCCUGAAUUGGUCCUGACAUUUUAUUUCUGCUCUCCAUUGUACCUGGUAUUUCGAAGUUCCCUGCUGCUCUGCAGCCUGAAUGGAUUGAUUGACUCUCUCCUCAAUUGCAGUACUCUAACCCUAGAGCAGCAUUUCUCAAACCUAUCAGAGAUGAGUCAGUUUACUUUUGCUUUUCUUUUUAGUUUCUAACAGCUCACUAACACACAAAAAAAGAAUUACCAGAAAAAGGUCGAUAUUCUUGGAUGCUAUAUCAAUGUUAAGUGACAUGAUGACUUAUAACAGUUUAAUUUUCAUUUCUUUGUGGACCAUACUGUAGACCACACUGCAAUCAAUACUCUGGCUAUUGUCUGUCAACCAGAGAUGUAUCCAUUACUUGAGAGCAUCUUAGAAAUGCACAAUCUUAAAAAAAGAAAGAAAAAUGAAAUGCACAUCUCAGACAUUUUGCCAGAUCUAACAAAUCAAAAUCUUCCCAGAUGAUUUAACUGCACUUGAAAGUUUUUAGGGAGUUUCUACUCUUUCACUUGUUUUUGUCUUCCAGGAAUGUGUUGCUAUCUCUAUCUAAACAGAUUUUAUUUCACUUUUUCAGAUAGCUGGAAUUCUCCUUAUUCAGGUCAAUGAUCAAAUGUUACCUCUGUGGAGAAGACUGCCCUGGCUCUCAAAUGAAAGCAAUAACUGCUUAACAUUGCUUUAUAUUAUCUUUGCAGGAUUUACCUCCCUGCAACCAGAUGCAAGCUCGAGGAAAGCAGAAAUUUUGUAUGUCUUAUUUCUUGGCCUUUACCACUGCUAGCACAGUACCUGAUUGAGAGGUAGUCCUGGUUUAUCAAAUAAAAAAAGAUGUCGGCUUAUGUAAGUAAAAUUAGCCAGGCAUAAAAUGAAGUAAGAGCCCAGGACCCCAGUACUGAUUCUUUCAGUUCUACCCGUCUCCUUGGGCCUGCUUCAUGUUCAGGCUGGUAACUAAAUAGCCCCAAAAGGCAUAGAUCUCAAAUUUAUGCAAAAUAUUGUCAGAGACCUCUCCCUUUAAACAGUAGGUAAAAUUCUCUCUGAAACAUCUCAUGAUAUUUUCAGCUUUUUAAAGAUGUACUGAAUCAUAGGCCCAUUCUAAAAAUAUAUGAACAUGUAGUUAUAUACAAUAUACAGAUAUGAAGUGUACAGUUCACUAUAUUUUGGCAAUUAUAUAUCCCAUGUAGAUAGCAACCCAAACAAGAUAUUUAAAGUUUCCUUGUAUACUUCCCAGGUAGCCCAGGCCCUAGCCAGGCUUUACUAAGGUGACAAAAUGAACAACUACUAGAGCUAUUCAUAUCUUUAAGAUAUCCAUGUUUUAAUCAUUGUGGAUUUUUUAUAUUGGUUUUCAUUUUUUUAGAAAUAUUGCAUUAAAAUGUGAUUUGAAAGUAUUGAUUCCAGAGGAUUUUGUGUCCAAGAUAAGUACUUCAGUCAACUCACUUGCCUUUCAUAUAUUGCAACCUGUCGUUUUUGAGUCUCUGCCUUUCUCUAUGUCUCAUUCCUUCAAAUGAUAUUUGCAUGUACUGUUUCCCUGCAGUUUCUCCCGGAUAGGCAAACACAGAAGCAUGUAAGCCGAAGCCUGUCAUAGCAGAUACCCAGAAAAAAGCAGGUCAGGUACCCUGUGGCAACCAGCUAUAAAAUGAAGCUUUGAAAACUCAACUAUUUCACCACAUGGAGACUAGCUACCUUGCAUUAAAAGACAUGCUUUUGAAAUUUUUCAGAAGAAAAUAUGAACACAAAAACCAGAAGCAGUUAUUGUAGGCUACCCCUUCAUUAAAUGUGUCUACACUGAGCAUCACACACAGUGAGUAACUGCACUGUUAGAGCUAAGAAACCACUUAAUAUUGCUGACAAGUUGAUCCUGCAAGCUUCAAAAGACAUUUGUUAAGUUUUAGGAGAGGACACAGUUUUAAAAUGUGGUGCAUUUUUUGAGGUAACACUAUAACUAGAAUAAUUGAUGAAAUAACAGAAAUUAUUAUGGCUCAAUUGUUAGGAUUAGAGUCACCAAGGUACACUGACAACAAGCCAACAAUGCUCGUUUAUAUGAGAUAUAAUUUCGGGAGGAUAUGUACAAGGAUAUGUUACGAGCACAUUUUAUUGCAACUAACACCACAGCUGCAGAACUAUUCAAGUCUUUCAGGAAAACUAAAUUGAUCAUUGUGUGUCCUUGAUGAAUGCAUGGCUACCUAGUUUCAGUACUCAAAUCAAAGAAUUUGCUUGUGAAUGUGUGUCUAUGUACUGUGUUAUUCAUGGAGAAAUUUUAGGUAGUCCAAAAUUGUCACCUGACCUUAAUAUUUUAAAGAAUGUGAUUAAAGUUAUGAACUAUAUUAAA